rnacentral:rRNA from 1 species
GAUGAACGCUGGCGGCGUGCUUAAUACAUGCAAGUCGAGCGAACGGACGCGAAGCUUGCUUCUUUGAUGUUUGCGGCGGACGGGUGUGUCACAUGUGUAUAACCCCCCUAUCUGUCUGGUAUAAUUUCGGGACACCGGAGAUUAUACCGGAUAAUAUUUUGAACCGUAUUGUUCAAUAGUGAAAUACGGCCUUGCUGUCACUUCUAGCUGGAUCCGCGCUGCAUUAGCUAGUUGGUAAGGUAACGGCUUACCAAGGCUACGAUGCAUAGCCGACCUGACAGGGGGAUCGGCCACACGGGAACUGAGACACGGUCCAGAGGCCUACGGGAGGCAGCAGUAGGGAAUCUGCCGCAAUGGGCGAAAGCCUGACGGAGCAACGCCGCGUGAGAGAUGAAGGUCUUCGGAGCGGAAAACUCUGUUAUGAGGGAAGAACAGAUGUGUAAGGAACUGUGCACAUCGUGACGGUAACUGAUCAGAAAGCCACGGCUAACUACGUG